rnacentral:rRNA from 1 species
CGGACCGGCGCACGGGUGCGUAACGCGUAUGCAACCUACCUGUAACAGGGGGAUAACACUGAGAAAUCGGUACUAAUACCGCAUAACACUAUGAGAGGCAUCUCUUGUGGUUGAAAGUUUCGGCGGUUACAGAUGGACAUGCGUUGUAUUAGCUAGUUGGUGAGGUAACGGCUCACCAAGGCGACGAUACAUAGGGGGACUGAGAGGUCAACCCCCCACCAUUGGUACUGAGACACGGACCAAACUCCUACGGAAGGCAGCAG